rnacentral:rRNA from 1 species
GACGAACGCUGGCGGCGUGCUUAACACAUGCAAGUCGAACGGAAAGGCCCUGCUUUUGUGGGGUGCUCGAGUGGCGAACGGGUGAGUAACACGUGAGUAACCUGCCCUUGACUUUGGGAUAACUUCAGGAAACUGGGGCUAAUACCGGAUAGGAGCUCCUGCUGCAUGGUGGGGGUUGGAAAGUUUCGGCGGUUGGGGAUGGACUCGCGGCUUAUCAGCUUGUUGGUGGGGUAGUGGCUUACCAAGGCUUUGACGGGUAGCCGGCCUGAGAGGGUGACCGGCCACAUUGGGACUGAGAUACGGCCCAGACUCCUACGGGAGGCAGCAGUGGGGAAUAUUGCACAAUGGGCGGAAGCCUGAUGCAGCAACGCCGCGUGCGGGAUGACGGCCUUCGGGUUGUAAACCGCUUUCGCCUGUGACGAAGCGUGAGUAACGGUAAUGGGUAAAGAAGCACCGGCUAACUACGUGCUAGCAGCCGCGGUGAUACGUAGGGUGCGAGCGUUGUCCGGAUUUAUUGGGCGUAAAGGGCUCGUAGGUGGUUGAUCGCGUCGGAAGUGUAAUCUUGGGGCUUAACCCUGAGCGUGCUUUCGAUACGGGUUGACUUGAGGAAGGUAGGGGAGAAUGGAAUUCCUGGUAGAGCGGUGGAAUGCGCAGAUAUCAGGAGGAACACCAGUGGCGAAGGCGGUUCUCUGGGCCUUUCCUGACGCUGAGGGGCGAAAGCGUGGGGAGCGAACAGGCUUAGAUACCCUGGUAGUCCACGCUGUAAACGGUGGGUACUAGGUGUGGGGUCCAUUCCACGGGUUCCGUGCCGUAGCUAACGCUUUAAGUACCCCGCCUGGGGAGUACGGCCGCAAGGCUAAAACUCAAAGGAAUUGACGGGGCCCCGCACAAGCGGCGGAGCAUGCGGAUUAAUUCGAUGCAACGCGUAGAACCUUACCUGGGUUUGACAUGGAUCGGGAGUGCUCAGAGAUGGGUGUGCCUCUUUUGGGGUCGGUUCACAGGUGGUGCAUGGCUGUCGUCAGCUCGUGUCGUGAGAUGUUGGGUUAAGUCCCGCAACGAGCGCAACCCUUGUUCACUGUUGCCAGCACGUUAUGGUGGGGACUCAGUGGAGACCGCCGGGGUCAACUCGGAGGAAGGUGGGGAUGACGUCAAGUCAUCAUGCCCCUUAUGUCCAGGGCUUCACGCAUGCUACAAUGGCUGGUACAGAGAGUGGCGAGCCUGUGAGGGUGAGCGAAUCUCGGAAAGCCGGUCUCAGUUCGGAUUGGGGUCUGCAACUCGACCUCAUGAAGUCGGAGUCGCUAGUAAUCGCAGAUCAGCAACGCUGCGGUGAAUACGUUCCCGGGGCU